UACGUAGGGGGCAAGCGUUGUCCGGAUUUAUUGGGCGUAAAGAGCGUGUAGGCGGUUUGGUAGGUCCGCUGUGAAAACUCGAGGCUCAACCUCGAGACGCCGGUGGAAACCAUCAGACUAGAGUCCGGAAGAGGAGAGUGAAAUUCCUGGUGUAGCGGUGAAAUGCGCAGAUAUCAGGAAGAACACCCGUGGCUAAGGCGGCUCUCUAGUACGGUACUGACGCUGAGACGCGAAAGCGUGGGGAGCGAACGGG
rnacentral:rRNA from 1 species